ensembl:lncRNA CDC42SE2 CDC42 small effector 2
GGGGAGUGGGAGCCAGGAAGCUGCGAGCGCGCUGGGGAGCGCAGCUGCAGGCGUUGGGGCGGCAGGAGCCGCGGAGCCGGCGCUGAGAGGGGCUGCGGCCGGAGCGGGCGGCCGAGACAAAGGCGACGAUAGGGCCAGAUUUGAGUGUGUGAAUUUUUGAGUGAAACCUGGAACCCAAAUGAGAAGAAAUCUGCAAGGAAUAACUGCUGACAGUGAAUCUGCAGAGUCAUCUGUAUGCAUAAUAUGGAAUGUUCUUAACCCAGAGGUAGCUGAAUGUGUUACUCCAUUGCUGAGGAGUGACUAUCUGUUAUAGUCCCUGGGUCAAGACAACAAUUUUUAUACCUUCGUCGUGGUUCAGAAAGGAGCCUCUGUAGAACCAGAAGCAAAGAAAGGAAACAAUCCAAAUUUUUCUUUAUUAAAUUGACUGUGUAAGAUACUUGACUUCCAGGAACAAAAACACGGUGAAAUAAUAAAAUUUCAUCUUGGCAUCACUGGACAUCAUCGUAUUGAGGAGCGUAUCUUUGGAACUUCCUGAGUUGAGAUUUGGAACCUUCAUUGGUGCUCAUUUAUACUGUGGACUGUAAGCAUGAGUGAAUUCUGGUUGUGUUUCAACUGCUGUAUUGCAGAACAGCCUCAGCCUAAAAGGCGACGGCGGAUUGACAGAAGUAUGAUUGGAGAGCCCACAAACUUUGUGCAUACGGCUCAUGUUGGAUCAGGAGACCUGUUCAGUGGAAUGAAUUCAGUUAGCUCCAUUCAGAACCAAAUGCAGUCCAAGGGAGGUUAUGGAGGUGGAAUGCCUGCCAAUGUGCAGAUGCAGCUCGUGGAUACGAAGGCAGGAUAGCCUUGGUCCUUUCUCCAGGUUAUUGUGAAUUUCUAUAUUUUCUCUGUCCACUAUUCUGUAAUUUUUUUUUGUCCUGUGAUUGCGUUUCUUUUAUUUUGAAUUACAAAAAAGAAGUGUGAUGGCACCUUGUCCACCCUGUUGUGAUUAUUCCGGUGAGAUGUUACUGUUCUGCUCUGAAGAAGAUACUGUCAGACGAAUCCUGCAUUUCCUCAGCUGGCAUGCAUGCCUUUGGACUCAUGGAGAGUUCUUUGGAUUGUCACUGAAUUUUCAAUGUUUAAUCAGUAUGGAUCUGAUCUUCGCAUGAUCUUUGUGAAUGCUAACACCAUUUUGCAGUUGUUUUUUUUUCUAUUUUAAACAUUUUUCUUUUCACUGCCGACCCCCUGCCUUACGAUUUUAUUGGAAAGCAAGGACCUGCUAUUAUUUGUUAAUUUGCCAUCAUUUAUGUAUAUUUUGGAAGGUAUGAGACCCACAAGCACAAUGAUCAUUUUUAUUUGUUUGAAACUUCAGCAGAAUAGAUAUCUGCAUGCUUUAUGAAGUUGCUUCAGUAAGAGCCCAUGGGAUGCCAGAAAUUAACAUUUCUUUGCUGCCAUGGGCUGAUGAUGCUGCUACUAGAUAAAGUUUAGCUGUGGCACUAAGUCACGUCAUUUUCAUAGAAAAAGAUUACUUGUAGCUUAUUUUAGAAGUAUGACCUUUUGGUCUGAUUAGAAUUGCAAUAAAAGAAAAGCUUGCAUUCAUAAGGCAUUCAUUCUGUUGUAAAUGUUCAAUAUAUUUAUUUUGAGAGCAAGGACCUGUGGUUGUAAACAGGUGUGGUUACAGGUGUGGUUAUGUAUCUUGAGUGUUGUGGUCAUACUCUCAUCCAGUCCGAUCCUGAGCAUCUUCAUCUUAUUAGCUGUUCGUUUCUUUGUGCACUCAUUCUUUUAUUUUUACUUCUUUUUAAUGUUAUGGUAUCCAGUUGUUUCCAGUAGCAGUUUCUUGAACUUCUGGCCUGUACUACUAACUGCAGACCUCCAGAGUCACUGGCCUUUCUGUGCUCUACAUAUUUUAGGGGCCACAUCAGUUGCCAAGAGCAACAUACAUACUGACCUGGCUGAAUUAUUGCCAGUGAAAACAACCUGUACGAAGCCUUUGCUCAGGUUCUAAAAUAUGUUUGUCCUUGCACGAAUUUUGUAUAUUUCAAAUACUUCUGUAAAGGUUUCUUAUUUUCUGUUAGAGUGUGGUGUUAAGCCAGAGUCAGUGGUUUGUGUUCUCAUUAAAACGUUUAAAUCCUAUGUCCAAUUCAAGCCUAUCUAUCUAACUACAUUUGGUAGGAUUAACAUUUCAUGUAACAAAUGGGGCUUAAUUAAAUAAAAACUUUAAAUAACUUUGAAUAAAGUAACAGGGAUCACUUUAUCUUCUGCCUUCAUUUACCUUAGUCCAAGAUUCUUGCAAAAUAGGCAACUGAACAAACAUUAGGUUUAUGUAGGUAAAAUGUGAAAGCAUUUCUCCUCCACUUUUUAAAAUUUAAUUUACCCAGUACAGCAGGGCACCAGAUUACUUGAUUUUUGUAUUUUGCAGUUUUGAGCCUUUGUGUCAAUCCCAAGCACAGAGAGGAUCUCUGCCAAGGAAAAACAUUUGCAUCUUCAGAGUAGACAUUUUGCAGUUUGUUUAAUAACUUCUAAAGUUGAAUUCAUCCAUUGUCACUGAUUGAUUCACCAAGUGGAUGUUGCAUUGUGGAAUUUGCCUGAGUACUGUUGUCAUUCUGCUCAGCCAGGCAUGGUCAGUUUCUUGGCCAGGGACAUUGCUGUGUGCAAGCUCUUUAGAAGAGAGAUUGGAUUUUCUUGGCAUUAUCAGCACUCAUGCUAUUUAGUCUACUUCUAUUUUGACUGACUUUAAAUUAGUACAGUUUUUCUACUUGUCAUAUAACUCCUGGAACAACAAUACGGGAAGCCAUGAUCCUUUUCCCUGACUCAUGAUUUUAUUCUUUUUCCAAAUCGCUGUUUUUUUGUUUUGUUUUGGUUUGGUUUUUUUGCUGCUCCAACGACCAGCAUGUGUUAGAGCAGAUCUCCAUGGUAAGCCAAAAGUGGACUUGUCAGCCUAUAACUACUCUGCAGCUGCCACUAACUCUACAGGCACAGUAAUACACUUUAUACAGGAGCACAAGCCAAAGUGCCUGGGAGGUGCCAAUAAAAUCAAUCAAGAAAUAAGAAAACUACAAAAAAAGAUACGGUUUAACCCUGGACAUAAUUUUUUUUUUUUAGGGAGGCAGCUUUCCCACAUUUAUAAAUGGGGUUGUAAAUCUCAAGAGGUCAUUUGUUCCCAUAGCAGCAUAUCUCAUUUUUAAAUUGAAGCUCAUUAAAUAGGAUUUUACUACUCAACAUUCAUUAUACUGUUAAUCUUUGCUGAAAUAUAUGCUAACAACAAAUGUUAAGCAAGGGAAACUGAAGACUGAGUCACAUGGAUUGUUAGCGGUGAUCUGCAUUCUGUGAAAGAGGUACUUUCCCGUGAUGUAGGCAUGAAGUGGUGCCAAUAAGCAUAGAGCGGAAAUGUUGACUUUAGUUACCAUUGGGUUUAGCAUUUCCAGUGCAGCAUUAUCAGUGGGCCUUUAAAAAUACUUCGUGAGUACAUUAGCUUUCACUUUGUUGUUAAAUUAUAGCAGACUCAUUAUAGAGAACAAGUUUGCCUUGAUUUUGUUUAAAAUGACUUCUGCUAAGCACCCAGAAGAUAAAAUUGACAUAUUUUUAUAAUAUAAGCAUACUUUUUUUGUACAUUGUGUUCAUUCUUGAAUAAAAUGAGUUCUGUGUUGGCUUGUAGAUAUUAAAAAGAAAGUAUUGAUUUUGAUUCAAUAAAUGUUUUCUU